CGAGUCAGUCGGGUGACCGCAGUUGCGCGCUUUGCGCGCGGUUGAGGAAAGUCGGGACUUCACAGAGCAGAGUGCUGGCGCGAGCCAGGUCGGGGAAACCUGACAUCCCGUGCAACAGAGAACACACCGCCGAUGGCGCGACUCCGGUCGCGAUCAGGCAAGGGUGAAACGGUGCGGUAAGAGCGCACCACGGCCGGCGGCGACGUCGGUCGGUGGCACGGCACUCGAAGCAAGAUCGAACAGAGGGCACGGGUGGUUCGCCCGCCGCAAGGCACCCUCGGGUAGAUCGCAUAGAUGGAUGGUCACCGCCGCCGACUCGUAAGGGUCGUUGGUACAGAAUCCCGCUUACAGACCGACUCGCCGU
rnacentral:RNase_P_RNA from 1 species